rnacentral:lncRNA from 1 species
CGGCGAAAAAGGUAGGUUUUCUCUUCCUUUCUUUAUAUUUUAAGCAAAAAUAAAUAAAAAAAUAGCGAAACUAAAAAAAUCAAAUAUAUAUGUACAAAUGAAGAAAAAAAAUGAAAGAACGAUAAUCGAUAGAAUGGUAAAACAGAAAAGAAAACCUUUUUAUUUCAAAAAAAAUAUUUCCUCUCUGCCUUUGUAUUUCUUUCGGUCCCCCCUCCACUCUUUUUACAUAUUGAACGGCCUUUUAUAGGCCG